rnacentral:lncRNA from 8 species
GGCAAGAGCUUGGGUUUGGUUGAGCCUAGGGUUAGGGUUAGGAUUGUAGGAGAGGCAGGGGUCAGGGUUGUGGUAGGGUCUGGGGUCAGGGUUGUGGUAGAGGCUGGGGUCAGGGUUGUGGUAGAGGCUGGGGUCAGAGUUGUGGUAGAGGCUGGGGUCAGGGUUGUGGUAGAGGCUGGGGUCAGGGUUGUGGCAGAGGCUGGGGUCAGGGUUGUGGCAGGGUCUGGGGUCAGGGUUGUAGGAGAGGCUGGGGUCAGGGUUGUGGUAGAGUCUGGGGUUAGGAUUGUGGUAAAGGCUGGGGUCAGGGUUGUGGUAGAGGCUGGGUUUAGGACUGUGGCAGAGGCUGGGGUUAGGGUUGUGGUAGAGCCUGGGGUUGUGGUAGAGCCUGGGGUCAGGGUUGUGGUAGAGGCUGGGGUUAGGAUUGUGGUAAAGGCUGGGGUCUGGGUUGUGGUAGAGCCUGGGGUCAGGGUUGUGGUAGAGGCUGGGGUCAGGGUUGUAGUAGAGGUUAGGGUUGUAGUAGAGGCUCGGGUUGUGGUAAAGGCUGGAGUUAGGCUUGUAGUAGAGUUCAGGGUUGUGGUAGAGGCUGGUGUCAGGGUUGUAGUACAGGCUGGGGUUGUGUUAAAGGCUGGGGUUAGGGUUGUAGUAGAGGUUAGGGUUGUGGUAGAGGCUGGAGUUAGGGUUGUAGUAGAGGUUAGGGUUGUGGUAGAGGCUGGUGUCAGGGUUGUAGUAGAGGCUGGGGUUGUGGUAGAGGAUGGGGUCAGAGUUGUAGUAGAGAUUAGGGUUGUGGUAAAGACUGGGGUCAGGGUUGUAGUAGAGGUUAGGGUUGUAGUAGCGGCUAGUGUUGUGGUAGAGCUUGGGGUUAGGAUUGUGGUAGAGGUUGGGGUUAGGGUUGUGGUAGAGGCUGGGGUUAGGGUUGUGGUAGAGGCUGGGGUUAGGGUUGUGGUAGAGGUUGGGGUUAGGGUUGUAGUAGAGGCUGGGGUUAGGGUUGUAGUAGAGACUGGGGUUAGGGUUGUGGUAGAGGCUGGGGUUAGGGUUGUGGUAAAGGCUGGGGUUAGGGUUGGAGUAGAGCCUAGGGUUGUGGUAGAGGCUGGGGUUAGGGUUGUAGUAGAGGCUGGGGUUAGGGUUGGAGUAGAGCCUAGGGUUGUGGUAGAGGCUGGGGUUAGGGUUGUGGUAGAGCCUGGGGUCAGGGUUGGAGUAGAGGCUGGGGUUAGGGUUGGAGUAGAGGCUGGGGUUAGGGUUGGAGUAGAGCCUAGGGUUGUGGUAGAGGCUGGGGUUAGGGUUGUGGUAGAGGCUGGGGUCAGGGUUGGAGUAGAGGCUGGGGUUAGGGUUGGAGUAGAGGCUGGGGUUAGGGUUGGAGUAGAGCCUAGGGUUGUGGUAGAGACUGGGGUUAGGGUUGUAGUAGAGGCUGGGGUUAGGGUUGUGGUAGAGGCUGGGGUUAGGGUUGUAGCAGAGGCUGGGGUUAGGGUUGUGGUAGAGGCUGGGGUUAGGGUUGUAGUAGAGGAUAGGGUCAGGGUUGAACCAAGAUGUAGACGUGAAGCUGGGAUUAGGGUUGUGGUAGAGGCUGGGGUCAGGGUUGAACCAAGAUGUAGACGUGAAACUGGGAUUAGGGUUGUGGUAGAGGCUGGGGUCAGGGUUGAACCAAGAUGUAGACGUGAAGCUGGGAUUAGGGUUGUGGUAGAGGCUGGGGUUAGGGUUGUAGUAGAGGCUGGGGUCAGGCUUGAACCAAGAUGUAGACGUGAAGCUGGGAUUAGGGUUGUGGUAGAGGCUGGGGUUAGGGUUGUAGUAGAGGCUGGGGUCAGGCUUGAACCAAGAUGUAGACGUGAAGCUGGGAUUAGGGUUGUGGUAGAGGCUGGGGUUAGGGUUGUAGUAGAGGCUGGGGUCAGGGUUGUGUAG